GCCUGGAGAGCUCAGUUCAUAGGGCAUGAGAUGUUUAAUCUCAGAGUUGUGGGUUCAUGUCCCACAUUGGGCG
rnacentral:tRNA from 1 species